CUUUACACACGAUCACUUCAACAACAUCUACCAGUCCCACUACUACAGAUUAUUUACUGACAGUCAUUUCCACAACAUCUAGUAGUCCCACUACUACAGUUCCUUUACAC